rnacentral:rRNA from 1 species
GACGAACGCUGGCGGCGUGCUUAACACAUGCAAGUCGAACGGAAAGGCCCUGCUUUUGUGGGGUGCUCGAGUGGCGAACGGGUGAGUAUCACGUGAGGAACCUGCCCUUGACUUUGGGAUAACUUCAGGGAACUGGAGCUAUUAUCGGAUAGGAGCUCCUUCUGCAUGGUGGUGGUUGGAAAGUUUCGGCGGUUGGGGAUGGACUCGCGGCUUAUCAGCUUGUUGGUGGGGUAGUGGCUUACCAAGGCUUUGACGGGUAGCCGGCCUGAGAGGGUGACCGGCCACAUUGGGACUGAGAUACGGCCCAGACUCCUACGGGAGGCAGCAGUGGGGAAUAUUGCACAAUGGGCGGAAGCCUGAUGCAGCAACGCCGCGUGCGGGAUGACGGCCUUCGGGUUGUAAACCGCUUUCGCCUGUGACGAAGCGUGAGUGACGGUAAUGGGUAAAGAAGCACCGGCUAACUACGUG